rnacentral:sRNA from 1 species
GCGGGCGAGGCAUUGUAUAGUUGUAUUAUUUCCUUGUUUAUUUCCUUGUUUAUUAGGAAAUAAUACAACUAUACAAUGCCUCGCCCGC